rnacentral:tRNA from 1 species
UGGGGCGUCGACAAGUGGAAAGUCAGCAGAUUUUGGAUCUGCCAUCCCCAGGUUCGAAUCCUGGCGCCCCAGCCA